GAAGGUACAGCUCAGUGGCAGAGCACAUACUCAGCAUGCUCAAGGUCCUGGGUUCAAGCCCCAGUACCUCCA
rnacentral:tRNA from 1 species